CUUUUUGUUGUUGUUGUUGUUGCUAUUUCUUGGGCCGCUCCCGCGGCAUAUGGAGGUUCCCAGGCUAGGGGUUGAAUCGGAGCUGUAGCCCCCGGCCUACGCCAGAGCCAUAGCAACGCGGAAUCCGAGCUGCGUCUGCAACCUACACCACAGCUCACGGCAACGCCGGAUCGUUAACGCACUGAGCAAGGGCAGGGACCGAACCCGCAACCUCAUGGUUCCUAGUCGGAUUCGUUAACCACUGCGCCACGACGGGAACUCCCAAAAUACUUCUUAUUAGAACCUAAAGUAGAUCCAAGGCAGAGAGGCUUCUUUGUCUCAAUAUAUGUACAGACCAGAAUACUGUAACAUAGUGGAAAUAUGCAUAGGAAUUGCCAGAGUUAAGCUUCCUAGAUUCAAUUCCUGAUGUGCCAUCUGCUAGCUACAUGACAUAAAAUGUUAUUUGAUCUCUAUGAAUAAGUUAUAUCUCUAGAUGAAUAAAUUAUUUCAUUUUUAAAUGGGAAUAACACUAUACUACAUGGACUUGUUGUGAAAAUUAAAUGACAAAAUACUGAUAAAGCUGUUUGCACAGUCCCCAGGUAUGUGGUACUUGUAAAAUAACAGUAGCUAUUAAUAUAAUAACUACAUCUUCAUGGGUAAAAGCAGGCCUUUUAAAUAUUUUAAAAUGCAAUUUUGAUUAUAGAAAUAACAUACUCUUAUUGUAAAGAGUGGAAAUGACUACAAAGAAUUUAAAAAGGACAUGGAGUUCCCAUCAUGGCUCAGAGGAAAUGAAUCUUACUAGUAUUCAUGAGGAUGCAGGUUCGGUCCCUGGCCUCACUCAGUGGGUUAAGGAUCCGAUGUUGCUGUGAGCUGCAGUGUAGACUCAGCUCAGAGCUGGCAUUGCUGUGGCUGUGGUGUAGGCCGGUGGCUAUAGCUCCGACUUGAUCCCCAGCCUGGGAACUUCCAUAUGCCGCGAGUGUGGCCCUAAAAAGACCAAAAAAAAAAAAAAGAAUUUAAAAAGAAGAUUUCAAACCCCUAAUCCCACCAAUUAGAGAAAAGGCUAUUUAACAUUUGGUCAUCUUCUAUUUUUUUCCUAGCACAUUUUUACCUAACUGGGGAUCACAUGUACACAGUUUGAUAUAAUGAGGACUAGCGUUUAGUAUCUGGGCUAUGAAAUUAUGUUGCACUUCCUUCAGCAUCAUACGUGAGCUAUUCCCAGAGAUACCACCUUGAAAACCGUAUUUUCAUAUUCUUCACUAUCUUUUUUCUCUAAGAAUUGGCUAGCUACCCAACUAGGAUAUAGCCCUGUGAUCCUUAAGUUCUUAAUGUAAAUUUUCUCACUUUCAGAUGCAUAUCUCUUUCCUUAAGAGCCUCUACAGGCACCCUCUCUUUAAAUAGUUAACAACUCUUUCCCCUUUCUCUCCAAACACCUAAACCCCAAACUCGAUCGGGCUUCAUAGCCCAACCCUGCAGAAUUCCUGCCCUGAUGGUUGUGGAAGAGGGAUACUUAGCGAUGGAGCUUCUUCUUGUGACAAUUUCCUUUCAACAUGUUUUAACUGUACAAAUUGCUUGGAGAGGAGUUCGCAUCAUGGCUCAAUGGAAAUGAAUCUGACUAGCAUCCAUGAUGAUGCAGGUUCAAUCCCUGGCCUCACUCCGUGGGUUAAAGGAUCUGGCAUUGCCAUAAGCUGUGGUGUAUGUAAGCUCGCAGACGAGGCUUGGAUCUGGCAACCUACAUACCCUACAUGUUGUCUAGGCUGGCGGCUACAGCUCCUGAUUCAACUCCUAGUGUGGGAACCUUCAUAUACCUUGGGUGUGGCCCUAAAAGGACCAAAAAAAAAAAAAAUGCAUGAAGUUUCACAGAUAUAAUUACCCAUUUAUCCUCAUACUAGAUGUAUGACAAACAUAACUUUGCUAUGAAUAGUCAAGAAAUGGAUUGUUCCCUAUUCUAACAAGGCGCAGUGGUUGGCAGAGUCUAGGAUCAUCAACUGCUUCUUCUGAGGGCUAAAAACAAAAUAAAAGCUCAAUUUUCCACAACACUCUGGGAAAAUAUGCAUUUUAAUCCAUUUCCCUGACUCUCUUCUUUCCCCAGCUGAUGGCAGUAAAAGUAGACAGAGACUCGGGUUGAACAAGCUGCCACUGUGCUGCAAUUUCCAAGCCUCUCAAACAGAAAACAAGCAAAAAAAAACCUAAUAUCUAUCAUCAUAUCUACAAUAUCCAUCUAUGCUUCCUCGAUGCCUCUAACCCCCAUCAUCUGUCUUGUCUAAAGCUCCUGGCUGAUCUUAGACCCUCACAUAAAAGCAACAUCCUUGUUACUGAUCUGACUGAUGGCUCAGAGAGCCCGGUUAGAGAGCAGAGCACACACAGCAUGCACAUAUA
rnacentral:lncRNA from 1 species